AAUACUCACAACACCUUGUAGCGUACUGCGGUCUCCUCCAUGGGUGGGAACUGUCGGUCUCCAUGGUGAGACUCUGACGUUAAUGGUCUGGAAUAUUCUCAGAUCCAGUUCCAGUAGCUCAGUUCCUUUGAAGUUUGAAGGAGAAGCAAAGUGUCUUGCUGGAAGAGAACUAUCGCAAGCCAUCCACUGUGUUGCAGAACCCCAUCGCGAGCCAUCCACUGUGUUGCAGAACCAUCGCGAGCCUUCCACUGUGUUGCAGAACCAUCGCAAGCCAUCCACUGUGUUGCAGAACCAUCGUGAGCUUUCCACUGUGUUGCCAGAACCAUCAGAGCCUUCCUACUGUGUUAUAAAACCAGCGCAAUAACCAGCGCAAACGUUCCAGCAAAGCAGCGCGAGCAUUCUCCAGGCAUGGAAGGAUAGAGCUGGAUCAUCGGAUCCAGUGCAGGCUGCAGGAACUAUUGUACAGACAAGCCAUGCUGCUCUGGGACCCAGGGAGGAUUACCUGGGCAUGUCCUAUAUUUAGUAUGGAAGGAGAAGGCAGGGCUUAUCUGUACGCCCCCACAUCUCUCUUUAGGGGAGGGGCUGAGUCAACGCCCACUACUACCAUUGUAUGAUAAUAAAUUAUUAUACUCUUGAGAAAACUAAUAAGAGGUGGUGUGUGUAGGUGGAUUGUCUCUGCAUGUAUGUAUGGAGCUGUGAAGAUGAGUGGCUGGCUACAUGUCCAGUGUCUCGUGCAUUCUAUGAUGUGUAGGUUGAUGUCUGCACAACAAAGCUCCAUUGUGUACAGUAUCCUUGUGGGGCCACCCUAACUGCAUCUAUAUACACAACAGAUGAGUAGCUCCAUUGUGCACAGCAUCCUUGUGGGGCCACCCUAACUGCAUCUAUACACAACAGAUGAGUAGCUCCAUUGUGUACAGUAUCCUUGUGGGGCCACUCUAACUGCAUCUAUACACAACAGAUGAAUAGCUCCAUUGUGUACAGUAUCCUUGUGGGGCCACCCUAACUGCAUCUAUAUACACAACAGAUGAGUAGCUCCAUUGUGCACAGCAUCCUUGAGGGGCCACCCUAACUGCAUCUAUACACAACAGAGGAGUAGCUCCAUUGUGUACAGCAUCCUUGUGGGGCCACUCUAACUGCAUCUAUACACAACAGAGGAGUAGCUCCAUUGUGUACAGCAUCCUUGUGGGGCCACUCUAACUGCAUCUAUACACAACAGAUGAGUAGCUCCAUUGUGCACAGCAUCCUUGAGGGCCACCCUAACUGCAUUUAUACACAACAGAUGAGUAGCUCCAUUGUGCACAGCAUCCUUGAGGGCCACCCUAACUGCAUCUAUACACAACAGAUGAGUAGUUCCAUUGUGCACAGCAUCCUUGAGGGCCACCCUAACUGCAUCUAUACACAACAGAUGAGUACCUAGUGAUGUCUUUCAUACUGUUUGUAGGUUCAUUGAUUGCUGUGAAGACCAAGAUAAGUAGUCUGCUAUGUUGGGUCGUUCAUUAUCCCUAUGUAGGUUGAUGGUUGUGGAGCCACUGUAACAGCAUACACACAGAUGAGUAGCUAGCUAUGUUGUGUGACAAGUCUUUCAUGCCCUCUGUGCAGGUUGAUUGUGUGUGGAGGAGCCACUGAACAGCAUACACACAGAUGAGUAGCUAGCUAUGUUGUGUGUCACGUCUUCACGAUUCCUAUACUUACAGGUUGAUUGCUUGGGAUGGACAGCAGUAACCAACACUACAAGCAGCUCAACUCUUAUUCUGAUUGGCUGCUGCAACAAUGAUUGUUGUAAAUAGUAGUUCUUAUGCAACAAUUAUUUUAUGUUUUGUAUUUUUUAUGACAACAAUUAUUUUUUUAUUGAGAGUUGACAACUGAUGAUAUCACUAUUGAUAGUUUGAA